GACGAAGAAUACUGUAUAUAUAUAUUUCUCUAGAGAGAGAGGGAGAGAGAGGAACAAGUCAUCUUGCUCAGACUAAAGUGCUUUUGGUUGUGAACUUGAUACCUUUCUUCCUUGAUCAUCGAUCAUCCCUGAAUGCAAAACAGUGAAGCGAUCGUUCCGUUUUGUGUAAUUUCAUUGCAUUGUUGGCUGAAUUAUACGGUUUUCUAAUGUGCAUCUUCCUCACUGGUGUGGAUGGAAUACUGUGAUUUCCUGAAUUUACUAUUUGCAAUUGGCGUUUGGUGCACUGCGUAUAUCACUGUUGCCAUUCUUGAAUCUUUUCGAGCCAUUGUCUUCCUCUGUCAUUUCUGAUCCAGAAAAGCAAUUUCAGAAAGAUAUCAUGUGCUAUGCACAUCUAGUCAUUGGCCCUGCCGGCAGUGGAAAGAUGGAUGAGUAUAGCAUGGUGAACUUUAUCCCACUUGACUUGAGGAAGGAGAACAGCAUACAGUAUGUAUUGACAUAAAUUGACAACUGCAUCCAGUUUGAAGAUGAUGUGGAUGUGAAAGUUGAGGAUUUUGAUCCCAAUAAUAGUAUGAUUAGUUUGAUCCCUUGGACAGGUUGCUGCAAAUUUUAGAGUUGCGCUGGUGAUUUGGAGGUCGAUGAAUCGUGGAAGCGCCUGUCAUGUAUUAGAUAUGUCAUCUUGUGUUGUGUGAGUUGCACACUCUGACUGUGCUACGGCAUGGCUUUACAACAUGUUGAGGUUCUGUUCAGGUGACUGAUAUAGCCUUUUUUCUACAUGAUGAAAUUUAGCUCCGUGUAAUAUAGCAGUGGGCAAUGUUCAAUAUCACCUUGCAUUAUCUUCCCGCAUUGGGCUUUGGCCCAGUUCUCAACUAGUCCAUGGGGGUGACGGGGUCUUUCAUGUAAUUCGAGAUUUACCAAUUAAUUGUCCAAUAAGCAGUUGGGUGAGUUCCACAUUACCAAAAAAAAGAGAGUAUAGGUCAUGAAGAUUAACUUGUUUGAAAGCCAUCAAGAUUUACUAGCUUUGAUUGUUGAUCUAAUAAAAUUUCAACGUUUGCCUGUUA